rnacentral:rRNA from 1 species
AGUGAACGCUGGCGGUAGGCCUAACACAUGCAAGUCGAACGGCAGCACAGUAAGAGCUUGCUCUUACGGGUGGCGAGUGGCGGACGGGUGAGGAAUACAUCGGAAUCUACUUUUUCGUGGGGGAUAACGUAGGGAAACUUACGCUAAUACCGCAUACGACCUACGGGCGAAAGCAGGGGAUCUUCGGACCUUGCGCGAUUGAAUGAGCCGAUGUCGGAUUAGCUAGUUGGCGGGGUAAAGGCCCACCAAGGCGACGAUCCGUAGCUGGUCUGAGGGGAUGAUCAGCCACACUGGAACUGAGACACGGUCCAGACUCCUACGGGAGGCAGCAGUGGGGAAUAUUGGACAAUGGGCGCAAGCCUGAUCCAGCCAUACCGCGUGGGUGAAGAAGGCCUUCGGGUUGUAAAGCCCUUUUGUUGGGAAAGAAAAGCAGCAGGUUAAUACCCCGCUGUUCUGACGGUACCCAAAGAAUAAGCACCGGCUAACUUCGUG